rnacentral:piRNA from 1 species
UUCUCUGAUGUUCCAACAUUCCUUCAGACA